ACUUCUCCCACUCCCCUCUCCGAUUCUAAUCAGGAGCGGAGAGGACGAGGCGUGCGACGAUGCGAGGGGCGGUUCACCAUGGUGUCGGCGUCGGCUCAGCGUCGUGAUGCUCGUCGGCGUGGUGACCGGCGCGUGGGCUCGGCAUCUAUGCCGGUUGGCCGAGCCGUGUGCAGAGGCGUCGGUACUGCUUGGCGGUAGGGCUUCUUCAUGAUGCGCAGGCAUCCCCUCCCAUCACGGCGGUCCCAAGCACAUCUUUCUCCCCUCCCCCGCCGCUACCUUCCGGCCAGCAAGAGCACCGCCGUCCUAGGUACCCUGUGCUUCCACCAGGUAUAGUGCGACCCCCCGCUGCCGACGCCACUGCAGGUUCUGCCUCCAACCUUCGCGAGCAAGCAAUCGUGUUUCCCUCUCAGCCGCGUACUCCUCAACAGCGCCCCUCUAGUUCUUCCCUGACCCCAACGCUGAUUUCAGUCUGCUUUAAAAAAAACACCGAUUUCAGUCUCGUACAUGCCUGGAAGCUACUUGGGCUGCACAGUCGUCUAAUCCAUUAUAGAUCUCUGCUUCAAAUGCUUCUGCAUUUAAAGAUGUCCAGUUACAACAUUUUGAGGACUAUCAUUGGAAGUUGUUUUAUGAUGUACGUGCAAGGAGAAAACAGUAGCAAAUAAUUCUUGCGGAGGGAAGAAUUUCCGAUGGAGACCAUGCCGCUGGGUAGUGCACCCACCAAAGAGAUUUCCCCACCAAAAUAAUGUGACUGAAGAGGAGGCGAACUCUCGAACUGAUGUAGCUCGGCAAAUCUGAUAAAAAAUUGCUUUCUUGUUGA